GUUUACAUUCCAGCGGUCAGAGUAAAGCCGUGGGUUUGUUCAGCGUCGUGUCCAGGUGCAGAGGGAUCGCUCAGAAGCCAUUUCCUCAAUAACAUCAUCAUCCAGGAAGUGACAUCAUUUUGGAGGGAAAACAACAGCACAAACAUCGUCAUGCAUUGUACCUGGUGCUGUCGGGCUAAUAAACGCCGUUUAAAUAUUCAUGGGAUGUUCGUUACAGUGAACUCUAAUGUCACUCCACAUCAGUCCAUUGAACUCGAACAACAACGAGAAGUGAAUAAACAAAUUGGACCAGGGUCGUGACCUGCGGUGUAUGCAACAGGUCUGCAUAUAAACAUCAGGUCCUGUUUCAGCUGUGAGCAAACAAAGCUUGCUUGAAGAUAGUGAAGACGUGAAGUCAACGCAGCGGAGACGUGAUUGGCUGGAGCUUCGUCUCUCGCGUUCAGUUCCUGUUCAUCUCUGAGUGAGGGAAAAGAGACUCAUCCAAAGUAGGGAACAGACUUCAAGACUUCAUUCAUUUAUUGCUGA